GUCUAUGGCCAUGCCAUCCUGAACAAGCCCAAUCCCCUCUGAUCUUGGAAGCUAAGGAGGGUCAGGCCUGGUUAGUACUUGGAUGGGAGACCACCUAGGAAGACCAGGUGCUGUAGGUG
rnacentral:rRNA from 1 species